GGGUGCGUGGGUCAGUGGUUAGAGCCUAGGGCUUGGCACCGAAAGUCCCGGGUUCGAACCUCGGAAGAGACA
rnacentral:tRNA from 1 species